rnacentral:rRNA from 1 species
AGUGGCGAAAGGGUGCGUAACACGUGGGCAAUCUACCGAGAAGUGGGGCAUAGCUCGCCGAAAGGCGAAUUAAUACCGCAUGUGACCCUGGGUAACCUUACCUGGGCGUUAAAGCCGGGGCAACCUGGCGCUUUUUGAUGAGCCCGCGGCCUAUCAGCUAGUUGGUGAGGUAACGGCUCACCAAGGCUAUGACGGGUAGCUGGUCUGAGAGGACGACCAGCCACACUGGAACUGAGACACGGUCCAGACACCUACGGGUGGCAGCAGUCGAGAAUUUUUCACAAUGGGGGAAACCCUGAUGGAGCGACGCCGCGUGGAGGAUGAAGGCCUUCGGGUUGUAAACUCCUGUCAUUGGUGAACAAGGCAGGCCGGGUAACUCCGUGCCUGUUUGCUAGUAGCCGAAGAGGAAGGGACGGCUAACUCUGUGCCAGCAGCCGCGGUAAUACAGAGGUCCCAAGCGUUGUUCGGAUUUAUUGGGCGUAAAGGGUGCGUAGGCGGCGGAGUAAGUUGGGUGUGAAAUCCCGGGGCUCAACCUCGGAAUUGCAUUCAAUACUGCUUCGCUCGAGUACUGGAGAGGAGACUGGAAUUUACGGUGUAGCAGUGAAAUGCGUAGAUAUCGUAAGGAAGGCCGGUGGCGAAAGCGAGUCUCUGGACAGUUACUGACGCUGAUGCACGAAGGCCAGGGGAGCAAACGGGAUUAGAUACCCCGGUAGUCCUGGCAGU